rnacentral:rRNA from 1 species
UACGAAGGGGGCUAGCGUUGCUCGGAAUCACUGGGCGUAAAGCGCGCGUAGGUGGUUUGAUAAGUCGGAUGUGAAAUCCCCGGGCUCAACCUGGGAACUGCAUUCGAAACUGUCUGACUAGAGUUUGAGAGAGGGAAGUGGAAUUCCACAUGUAGCGGUGAAAUGCGUAGAUAUGUGGAGGAACAUCAGUGGCGAAGGCGGCUUCCUGGCUUAAAACUGACACUGAGGCGCGAAAGCGUGGGUAGCAAACAGG